CGACCCCUGGCGCCUGCGCGCAGCCCCGUUCUCUCCGGCAGCCGCGGGGUUCCUCUUUCCAACCCGACUCCCCCGCAAGACCUGGCCGGCCCGGCCCGCCCCGCGCCCAAGCCCGUUACCCGGGACUUCUUUAAAGGGCGCCUGCUCCUGUCACCUCCUCUAAUAGACUGGCAUUUGUUAGCCUUUGGCUGCCCUUGCUGGUCACCAGAAUCGGCUUGCAGUUGGAGAGAGCUGUGCAAGUCCUUUGGGCCUUUCACAGAAAGAUAAGAGAGCCAACCAGGGUCUUCAGGAUCCACUCCUGCUUGCUGUCGCUAAGGUGUUAACCAGUCCCUGAAGUCUCCAUCAGACUUCUCUCUUUCCGGCUUGAAGAACUGAACCAGAGCACAAUCUAUUUUUACAGGAAAGAGAGAGGAUAGCCCCCACAAGACCCUGACCAGCUCUAUGCUUUUCUCAACCCCUCCGAUUUCCUGUGCAAUUGAAGGCCUUUUUAAGUCACCACUGGGGGUCUUCCUAUUCUGAGUUUUCAUUGAACUUGGAUCUGAAGUUCCUACUCACAAAAGGAUGAAUUGGAAUAUAUGUGGCUACUCUGGGCUAUAAGAUCCUCAAAGGAUUCUAAGUUCUUCUGCAAUAUUUUCACUCUGUCGCCCAGGCCCUGCAGAGUCUCUGUUGAUGGCUUUCAGCCAAAAAUGAAAUGAGAGAUUCAAAUCCACCAUCAGAGGUUUUCUCUGAUCUGCAGGGGGUUUACUUUAAAGAGCAAUCCAUUAAGGAAGUAAUUUUGAAAUCCAGUUUCUUUUGGAUGCUUCCUCGUGCUAAUAAAAAAUAAUGAAGACUAUUGGAUGCUCUGAGUGGUGUUGCCUUUACCUUCUAAGGCACCUCUCAAGUGAGUAACUUUGUUCAUAUCAAAACUUUCGGGAUCCCUGGGUGGCGCAGCAGGUUAGCGCCUGCCUUUGGCCCAGGGCGCGAUCCUGGAGACCCGGGAUCGAAUCCCACAUCGGGCUCCCGGUGCAUGGAGCCUGCUUCUCCCUCUGCCUA